AAAAGUGCCAUAUCACCCUGCAGCUCUCAACUGGCUACCCACUGAAGCUAAGCAGGGUUGAGCCUGGUCAGUACCUGGAUGGGAGACCUUCUGGAAAGCUAUGGUUGCUGCUGGAA
rnacentral:rRNA from 1 species